rnacentral:misc_RNA from 1 species
UUCAAAAAUAAGCUUUCUUUUCCAUCCCUAUCUAUAUAAACAAUACUCUUAAUUAAAUUCCAAACGUCGAUAGAAAUAAAAUAAAAAAAAUGACCUCCGCAUGCAUAUCGAAUUGCAUCAACGACGCUCGUGCUCCGGUCCGGGCCACUUACGUAAACUUGUACAAGUGGCCCGAAUCGGAUGCCGAAUUUAUAAAAUCGGUCAGCUCAAAAAAUCAUGAUCAUGGUCGUGGUCGUGAUCGUGAUACUGGUCCAAAAGUGGUGGAUAGUAUUUCGUGUAGGCAAUUAUAUUUGAGGAGCUAUACUUUUUCAAGGGAAGAUCAAGUGAAUUUGAGUGAUGAGAAGAAAUCUCAUGUAAAAUGUUAUGGUAAAAGAAAGAGGAAAUUGCCUCGUCGGAUUGACGGUGGCGAUGGUGGUGGUGGUGGUGGCCGGGCACGGAGAACGAGAAGGAAGUGUAAAGGGUUUAGUAAAGCUAAGGAGUUCUCUUGCGCAGCGUUGGCUUCGAUUUUUCGGAGGUUACUAUCUUGUACAACGAAGGUCGAUGUGGUUGGUUAAUUAACAGGUUAAUUUUCUCAUAUAAUUAUUCAACUAAUAAUAAUUAUCUCAGAUAAUUUUUUUCAACAACAAAAAAGUGAUCUCGUGAGAUAAUUACUAUUGAUUGUGUGAAUUUUAUG